rnacentral:rRNA from 1 species
GAGACAUAUGUUGAAUUGAAUCAUUCGAGCAGCGGACGGGUGAGUAAAGCACAAGGACUUGUCCGAAAGAGAGGGACACCUGCGGGAAACCGGAGCUAAUACCUCAUUAGCCGGAAGGUGAAAAGCAGAGAUGCGCUUUUGGAGAGACUUGUGUCCUAUCAGGCAGUUGGUGAGGUGAAAGCUCACCAAACCGAAGACGGGUAGCCGGACUGAGAGGUCGACCGGCCACAUUGGAACUGAGAGACGGUCCAGACUCCUACGGGAGGCAGCAGUGGGGAAUAUUGGGCAAUGGGCGGAAGCCUGACCCAGCGACGCCGCGUGAGGGAAGACAGCCUUCGGGUUGUAAACCUCUGUUGCAGGGGAAGGAGGAAGUGACGGUACCCUGCGAGGAAGCUCCGGCUAACUACGUGCCAGCAGCCGCGGUAAUACGUAGGGAGCGAGCGUUGUCCGGAAUUACUGGGCGUAAAGGGCGCGUAGGCGGCGCUUCAAGUCGUCUGUCAAAUGGAAGGGCUUAACCCUUUUUCGCAGACGAAACUGGAGAGCUUGA